AUGGAGACGACGGCACUGAGUGUUGGAAAGUCCGUGCUGAGUGGAGCGCUUAGCUAUGCCACAUCUGCCCUGGCGGAGGAGGUGGCCCUGCAGCUCGGAGUCCGGCGUGACCAGGUCUUCAUCACCAAUGAGCUCGAGAUGAUGCAGGCUUUCCUUGAGUCCGCUCAUGACGAGGGAGAUGGCAACAGGGUGGUCAAGGUGUGGGUGAAGCAAGUCCGCGACGUGGCCUACGACGUCGAGGACACCCUCCAAGAGUUCGCCGUGCGCCUCGAGAAGCAGUCUUGGUGGCGUAUCCGUCGCAACCUACUCGGCCGGUGCCAUGUGGCAAAGCAGAUGAAGGAGCUCAGAGCCAAUGUUGAGGAUGUCAGCCAGAGAAACAUGCGCUACAAUCUCAUCAAGGGCUCUGGAUCCAAGGCCGCCAUGGCUGCAGAGCAGUCUAGCAUUACUUCUGCAGCACUAUUUGGUAUUAAUGAAGCAAGGCACAUGGCAAGGCAAGAGAAAUCCAAACUGGAUAUUUUUCAGCUGGUCAACCAGAAGGAGAAUGGCCUGAGGGUGAUUGCGGUGUGGGGAACAAUUGCUGAUCUAGGGCAGAUAUCCAUUGUCCGAGGAGUCUAUGAGAAUCCAGAUACUAAAGGCAAGUUCCCGUGCCGAGCCUGGGUGAGGCUGAUGCAUCCUUUUAAUCCCAAAGACUUCAUUCAGAGUAUGGUGGAGCAAUUUCACAUGGGUGUAGGGGCUAAAGCUCUACUGGGAGAAGAGAAGACGGCACAAGAGCUUGCUGAGAAGUUUGAUGAGUGCGUCAGUGGGAGGAGGUAUCUGAUCGUGAUUAAUGACUUAAACACCAUUGAGGUGUGGGAUCGGGUUAUAAGUUGCUUCCCAAAUAACAACUUGGGGAGCAGGAUCAUAGUGUCCACUGCUCAAGUAGAAGUUGCAAGCUUAUGUGCAGGGCAAGAAAGCAUAGUAUCAUAUCUCAAGCAAUCGUUUGGUGAUGAAAAUAUUUAUGCUUUCCAUGAGAAGGUCUCUCAAGAUGGAACAGAUUUAACUAAAACGGAGUCAAGCUCAAACCGUGCCAUUACCAGUUCAGAUACCAACCAGAUGGUGCCCACUGGUGAAAUAUCAGAAGACCAGUCCAAGGGUGCAGAUGGGAAAAAUACAUUAAAAAAGAGCUUCACCCGCAUUCGGACGAUGGCGACUGCUUUGGAGGAAUCUCACCUUGUUGGGCGACAGAAAGAAAAAGUUGAGAUUAUGAAACUAAUUUCAGAUCAACCUACCCAAGAAUUCCAGGUGAUCACUGUGUGGGGAAUGGGCGGUUUGGGAAAAACCACUCUAGUGAAAGAUAUAUAUCAAAACCAAGAACUUAGUGCCAUGUUUGAGAAGCGUGCUUGCGUGACUGUUAUGCGUCCUUUCAAUCUUGAAGGUCUUCUUAGGAGCUUAAUUAUGCAACUAGAUAGAGAAUCUUCUGAAAAGAAGGACACGGUGGGUUUGCUGAGCAACAAGACCACAUUGUUAUUGAUGCCACUUGCAGAAUUGAUGAAGGAGCUGGCAAGGUUUUGUGAAAGAAAGAGGUGCUUAAUUAUUGUUGAUGAUGUAUCAUCUAAUGCAGAGUGGAACAUGAUGAUACCAAUUUUCCAUGGAAUGGAAUAUACAAGCCGGAUCAUUGUCACCACAAGGGAAGAAAGUAUUGCUAAACUUUGUUCAGGGAGACAAGAAAACAUAUAUAUGCUCAAAGAUCUAGAACACAGUGAUGCAUGUGACCUAUUCACUAAAAAGGUAUUCAAGAAGACUAUAGAUUUGAAUAUGCAAUAUCCUGAACUAGUUGAACAGGCAGAACUUAUAGUGAGGAAGUGCAGCCGACUCCCACUUGCAAUAGUCACCAUAGGUGGCUUCUUGUCAAACCAACCAAAAACCUGUUUGGAAUGGAGGAAAUUGAAUGACCAUCUCAGCGCGGAGUUGGAGUUGAAUCCAGAGCUUGGGACCAUAAGAACUGUCCUUAUGAGAAGUUAUGAUGGUUUACCUUAUCACCUCAAGUCUUGUUUCUUAUAUAUGCCCAUCUUUCCUGAAGAUUACAAGGUUGGACGUGGACGAUUGGCACGUCGAUGGAGUGCAGAGGGUUACUCAAGGGAGGUGCACAGCAGGCCUGCGGAAGAAAUAGCGGAUAACUACUUCAUGGAACUUAUUAGCAGGAGUAUGAUCCUACCAUCUCAACAAUCAAUUCAUAAUAUAAAAGGAAUUGAUUCCUGCCAAGUCCAUGAUCUUAUCCGUGAAAUUGGUGUCUCAAAGUCAAUGGAAGAAAAUCUUGUUUUUACACUGGAGGAAGGAUGUAUCUCAAACAGCCAGGUCAUGGUACGCCACCUGUCUAUAAGCAGCAACUGGAAGGGAAAUAAGAGUGAGUUUGAGAGCAUAGUGGACAUGUCCCGUUUACGGUCAAUUACAUGCUUCGGAGAGUGGAAGUCAUUUUUCAUUUCUCAUAGGAUGAGGUUUGUACGAGUGUUGGACCUGGAAGACACAACAUGUCUACUUGAUCAUCAGCUUAAGAAUAUUGGAAAGCUUCUUCACCUAAGAUAUCUUUCUUUAAGAGGAUGUGGGGAUAUUUCCCACCUUUCAGAUUCGUUGGGUGACCUGAGACAGCUUGAGACACUAGACAUUAGAGGUACCAACAUAAUGGUCCUGCCAAAGACCAUCAUCAAGCUUCGGAAGCUAAAUUAUCUUCGUGCUGGGAUAAUACCGGAAAAUGAGAGUGUCUCGUGGGAAGAAUAUGCUGAUGACUUUCCUCAGGUAAUGAAGAACCGGCCAUGCACUUCAUUUGUUUGGAUGAUGAUGUGUUGUGUUGGGUGUUGUGCACUUGAGACUAUUUAUGGGAAUGGUGUGAGCCACCGUGAUCUAUGUGAACAUUUUUGCUACCUCAUACUCCCUUUAAUUGCGAUGGGCCUAGACCAGCAUGGUGUUCUAGUGCCAAGAGGGAUGAGGAAACUGAAAGCCCUGCGCACACUAGGUGUUGUAAACAUUGGGCGACGUGGGAAAAUUAUUCUGCAAGACAUAAAAGAGCUGACCCAUCUAUGCAAGUUGGGAGUGACUGGUGUCAAUAAGGAAAAUGGCCAAGAGUUGUGCUCGGCAAUUGUUGGCAUGAGUCACCUGGCAUCAUUAUCAAUCCGGUCAGAGGGGGAGCCAGGUUUAUGUGGCUGCUUGGAGGGAAAGUUCUCGUUUCCAGUGACACUGCAGAGCCUCAAGCUCUACGGCAACCUGGUCAGACUGCCAGAAUGGGUCCAGGGGCUCAAGAAUCUGGUGAAGCUGAAGCUGCGGAGCACCAUGUUAUCAGAGGACAAUGAGGCAAUGCAAGUCCUUGGUAAUCUUCCAAACCUGGGCUCCUUGCAUCUGUUGAGGGGAUCAAUCUGUGAGGAUAAAGUGUUCUGUUUCCGUCAGGGGGCAUUCCAAAGCCUGGUGUUUCUGGAACUUAGUGGCUAUAUAUCUGUGAAGUUUGAACAAGAAGCAAUCCCUACGCUUGAGAUGCUCAAGUUGUUUUGCAUGGAAGUCAACGGCAAUUCCCUUUCGGGGCUACCAACUAUCGCGAGCCUCAAGGAAGUUGUGCUGGAAGGUUACUACAAUUACUCCGAACUGGCAUACCUGAGGGCCGAGCUUGCCGAGAAUCCAAACCGACCCGUCCUGAAGAGGGUCUGA
rnacentral:rRNA from 1 species